rnacentral:lncRNA from 1 species
GGGGUCUCUCAGCUGGAGCUCCCUGUGGUAGUUUUAAAUAUGACCCUAACAUUCUUUGAUACUCAGUACCUGAGAAGCUUGAUUUAUAAGAUGGAAAUCCUACCUUGAACUUAAGCCUGAUACUACAGUGAGAUGGGAUUUGAAAGUUCUUGAAUGUCUCCAGGAUGUCAGUCACCACUUGACAUGAAGACUUGAGGCCUCUGAGAACUUUGUUGGGUGCUCUGCCCCCGCCAUCUAAGAGUUGAAGGCUUAAUUAUGGUGCACUGUGGAGGAAGGAGAUAAGGCAAAGAAUGGAGCCCACCACCUAAUGAAGACCAACCACAUCCCUUCCUAUUUUGGAGAAGUCUCUCCCAGGGUCAAGUGAGGAAGGAACCACUCCCAUACAGACUACCUUCACUGAGAAGGUGGAGGAACAACAGAGAGAAAAGAAGUCUAUAAGGUCUGCUUAGGCCUAGAGCUGAGAGACAAUGACGUUCCACAUUCAAG